rnacentral:rRNA from 1 species
GUGGGGAAUAUUGCACAAUGGGGGGAACCCUGAUGCAGCGAUGCCGCGUGGAGGAAGAAGGUUUUCGGAUUGUAAACUCCUGUCGUAAGGGACGAUAAUGACGGUACCUUACAAGAAAGCUCCGGCUAACUACGUGCCAGCAGCCGCGGUAAUACGUAGGGAGCGAGCGUUGUCCGGAAUUACUGGGUGUAAAGGGAGCGUAGGCGGGACGGCAAGUCAGAUGUGAAAUAUACGUGCUCAACAUGUAGACUGCAUUUGAAACUGUCGUUCUUGAGUGAGGUAGAGGUAAGCGGAAUUCCUGGUGUAGCGGUGAAAUGCGUAGAGAUCAGGAGGAACAUCGGUGGCGAAGGCGGCUUACUGGGCCUUUACUGACGCUGAGGCUCGAAAGCGUGGGGAGCAAACAGG